rnacentral:rRNA from 1 species
AGAGUUUGAUUCUGGCUCAGAACGAACGCUGGCGGCAGGCUUAACACAUGCAAGUCGAGCGCUCUACUUCGGUAGAGAGCGGCAGACGGGUGAGUAACGCGUGGGAACCUACCUAAUAGUACGGAAUAGCCCUGGGAAACUGGGAAUAAUACCGUAUACGCCCUCUUUGAUUGGCUCAUUGAGGGGAAAGAUUUAUCGCUAUUAGAUGGGCCUGCGUUGGAUUAGCUAGUUGGUGAGGUAAUGGCUCACCAAGGCAACGAUCUAUAGCUGGUCUGAGAGGAUGAUCAGCCACACUGGAACUGAGACACGGUCCAGACUCCUACGGGAGGCAGCAGUGGGGAAUAUUGGACAAUGGGCGCAAGCCUGAUCCAGCCAUGCCACGUGAGUGAUGAAGGCCUUAGGGUUGUAAAGCUCUUUCAAUGGUGAAGAUAAUGACGGUAACCAUAGAAGAAGCCCCGGCUAACUUCGUGCCAGCAGCCGCGGUAAUACGAAGGGGGCUAGCGUUGUUCGGAUUUACUGGGCGUAAAGCGCACGUAGGCGGAUUGACAAGUUAGGGGUGAAAUCCCGAGGCUCAACCUCGGAACUGCCUCUAAAACUGUCAAUCUCGAGUCCGGAAGAGGUGAGUGGAACUCCUAGUGUAGAGGUGGAAUUCGUAGAUAUUAGGAAGAACACCAGUGGCGAAGGCGGCUCACUGGUCCGGUACUGACGCUGAGGUGCGAAAGCGUGGGGAGCGAACAGGAUUAGAUACCCUGGUAGUCCACGCCGUAAACGAUGAGAGCUAGCCGUCGGGGGAUUUAUCUUUCAGUCGCGCAGCUAACGCAUUAAGCUCUCCGCCUGGGGAGUACGGUCGCAAGAUUAAAACUCAAAUGAAUUGACGG